GGGGGUGAUCCGGUUUCGACGGAAUAUGCCGAGGUCAGAUUGCGCGUCGUGGAUUCUCGUUGGCCACGUAAAAAAACGGGAAAAAAACUAUAAUUGCGGACAGCAAUUAUGCUCUCGCCGCCUAAAUAACGGCCGCGAUGUCGAACCGCAGACGCCUGCUAAGCGGCAAGACAUCAUUCAGCAGGUCUCGCUUAAGGGAGCUCCGCUCGCCCGCUUAAGGGAGCCGAAUCGAACGGAUGGACGAGGAUAAGCCUGUGCGUCGGCGUACCGCGUCCGAGAUCAAUGGCGCAAUACACGCGUAGAAGUUUGGUUGGAGCUGUUUCGGACAGGGGUUCGACUCCCCUCACCUCCACCA
rnacentral:tmRNA from 1 species